rfam:Ciona savignyi cont_50515, whole genome shotgun sequence.
AUACCCGAUCUCGUCUGAUCUCGGAAGUCAAGCAAUCUCGGGCUUGGUUAGUACUUGGAUGGGUGACCGCUUGGGAAUACCAAGUGUGAUAAGCA